AUGUGUUUCGUGUUAUCAAAACCAUCCCACUCCCCUCAAAAAAUCUGUCAAUAUUGUACACAAAUAACACAUAUCAAAACCUGCACCCCAAAAGCAAAAAAUCAGCAUGACAAAAUUUUUCAAAUUGACCUAAACUUUCCCCCCAAAAUCCCCAUUAAUUCCUCUAUAUCAACCAUGCUCUGUUCAUAUAAUUAG